AGUCACUGACAUUAGAUACCCCGGUAGUCCAGGGUGUAAACGCUGCAGACUUGGUGUUGGAAAUCCUUCGAGGGUAUUCAGUGCCGGAGAGAAGUUGUUAAGUCUGCUACUUGGGGAGUACGUCCGCAAGGAUGAAACUUAAAGGAAUUGGCGGGGGAGCACCACAACGGGUGGAGCCUGCGGUUCAAUUGGAUUCAACGCCGGACAACUCACUAGGAGCGACGGUUACAUGAAAGGCCAGGCUGAAGACUUUUGCCGGAUUUAGCUG
rnacentral:rRNA from 1 species